rnacentral:rRNA from 1 species
AUUGAACGCUGGCGGCAUGCUUUACACAUGCAAGUCGAACGGCAGCACGGACUUCGGUCUGGUGGCGAGUGGCGAACGGGUGAGUAAUACAUCGGAACGUACCCAGUAAUGGGGGAUAACUAUCCGAAAGGAUAGCUAAUACCGCAUACGCCCUACGGGGGAAAGAGGGGGAUCGCAAGACCUCUUGUUAUUGGAGCGGCCGAUGGCUGAUUAGCUAGUUGGUGGGGUAAAGGCCUACCAAGGCAACGAUCAGUAGCGGGGCUUAGAGGACGAUCCGCCACACUGGAACUGAGACACGGUCCAGACUCCUACGGGAGGCAGCAGUGGGGAAUCUUGGACAAUGGGCGCAAGCCUGAUCCAGCAAUGCCGCGUGCGUGAAGAAGGCCUUCGGGUUGUAAAGCGCUUUUGUCAGGGAGCAAAUCCUUGUGGCUAAUACCCACCGGGGAUGAGAGUACCUGAAGAAUAAGGACCGGCUAACUACGUGCCAGCCGCCGCAGUAAGAC